AGGACGAACGCUGGCGGCGUGCCUAAUACAUGCAAGUCGAACGGUCUUUCUAUGGAAGCUUGCUUCCACGUGAGAAGAUAGUGGCGAACGGGUGAGUAACACGUGGGUAACCUGCCCAUAAGAGGGGGAUAACAUCCGGAAACGGGUGCUAAUACCGCAUAGUUUUCUUGAUCGCAUGAUUGAGAAAGGAAAGACGGCCUUUGUGCUGUCGCUUAUGGAUGGACCCGCGGCGUAUUAGUUAGUUGGUGAGGUAACGGCUCACCAAGACGAUGAUACGUAGCCGACCUGAGAGGGUGAUCGGCCACAUUGGGACUGAGACACGGCCCAAACUCCUACGGGAGGCAGCAGUAGGGAAUCUUCCGCAAUGGACGAAAGUCUGACGGAGCAACGCCGCGUGAGUGAAGAAAGGUUUUCGGAUCGUAAAACUCUGUUGUCAGAGAAGAACAAGUUGGAGAGUAACUGCUCCAGCCUUGACGGUAUCUGACCAGAAAGCCACGGCUAACUACGUGCCAGCAGCCGC
rnacentral:rRNA from 1 species